rnacentral:rRNA from 1 species
AAAUGAAUAGACGGGGGCUCACACAAGCGGUGGAGGAUGUGGUUUAAUUCGAAGCAACGCGCAGAACCUUACCAGGUCUUGACAUGCUGGGAUUAAUUAUCUGAAAGGAUGAGGAUUGCCCGCAAGGGUGUAACCAGCACAGGUGCUGCAUGGCUGUCGUCAGCUCGUGCCGUGAGGUGUCAGGUUAAGUCCUUUAACGAGCGAAACCCCUACGUCGAGUUGCCAGCGAGUAAUGUCGGGAACUCUCGACGGACUGCCGCGCAAGCUGGAGGAGGGAGGGGACGACGUCAAGUCAUCAUGGCCUUUAUGACCUGGGCCACACACGUCCUACAAUGGGUGGUACAACGGGAAGCCAAACCGCAAGGUCGCGCCAAUCCCUGAAAGCCACCCUCAGUUCGGAUUGCGGGCUGCAAUUCGCCCGCAUGAAGCUGGAAUCGCUAGUAAUCGCGGAUCAGCCACGCCGCGGUGAAUAUGUUCCUGAGCCUUGUACACACCGCCCGU